UAAAUAUUGAUAUACAGAGUGUGGGAGGCUGACAGAAAAUAGCAGGCUUUAAUUCUCACCUCUGUGGAAAUCGCUGGCCCUGAGAAACAGAAAUAUUGCAAUGGAUGAAGAGCAAUAUUUCACUUCUGAAGAAAAUAUCCCCCUAUCAUCACGAUCCUGGCUCUGGAAGAAGAGGAAUUUCAUUUCUCCUGCUGCUAAAAGCCAAAGCAAAACAGGUAUCACAUGUGCUGAGGAGAUGUCUGUCUUAGGCCUGGCUGGAAACCUUUGACAGGCCACACAGCUGAUCUGCAGUGAAAUAAGGAAGAAAAAAUAUGAAAGUAGAACUGAUAUUCCACUGGAAGUUUUCCAAGSAGAAUGUCACCUUUUCAAAAUCAAAACUUUUCAUGGGGAUACCAGGACAUUAUAGACAGAAGAGCCUUCAAUAUGGACCUAGAAUGGAAAUUCAUAUUGGCACCAGAGAGAGAUACACUCCAAAAUGUCCAGUACUGAAAUAGUUAAGGCAAGCACUUACAUUCUUGCUCCACUGAAGAUGAGGAAGUUGAACCUCAGGUCAUGUUUCAGUGGAUUAGCACACACUUAGAACAGCCCAGCCUUGUGGCACCCCUUUCCACACUGCAGAAAAUUGAAGAGUUUAAAGGUUUCCAAGCCGUGCCGUGCUGCUCAGGCAGUCUGGCAUGAGCCUUUAGCCGGUUUCCUUAGCACCCGCAGCACAGACCUUUCUGUGAAUUUGUCUGAAGCACAAUUCAAUAAUGCAAGACAUCGACAGGCCUGAGGCAUGUUCUCAUGGCUGCUCCUCAGAUGUUUAUUGUGGGCAACCAUGCCAGAUGAUGUGUGGCUUGCCAGUGCUUUGUGACUGCUUGUGAUCAUUAAAAAUACAAAAAGAUAAACAUUGUCUGUAACCACAUGAAGCCUAUCUGGGUGCAUUUUGGCUGGAAUUACAACUACUCAUACCUCAAGGAAACUGCAGACCUCCCUAGCUCUGUGCACACUAUCUAACCCAGGCAUCCGUGCUUUUAUAGCAGAGCUUCUACCAGUGGUAAAGCUGGCGUGCAGUACUUCUGGGCAUGUGGCUCCCAUUUCACAAGGCCUAAUCCUGUGAAACCCCCACUGCCAUCGAGAUCCUGAGCGUAAUACCAUUUUGAGCAAGUUGCUCUAGUAUAUUUAUAAUUAUAUCAGAAUUGGUAGACUCCUUCCAGCCCUUUUCUGUUCUGUAAACUCGCUGAUAAACCUGCAGGCAAAUGUACAGGCUGGAUUCCAUCCACCUCUAUUCUUUAACUCUCUAAAUAUAGACACAGUUCAACAAGCAGUGGAAAUAGCUUCCCCUCAGAGAAUGAGAGUUUUUGUCACAGACUAAUUUCUCCUGGUUGGAAAGGAAAGAGCUUMCUAAUAAAUGAAACAGACAAUAAUAAAGACA
rnacentral:lncRNA from 1 species